AGUGAACGCUGGCGGUAGGCCUAACACAUGCAAGUCGAACGGCAGCACAGUAAGAUCUUGCUCUUACGGGUGGCGAGUGGCGGACGGGUGAGGAAUACAUCGGAAUCUACUAUUUCGUGGGGGAUAACGUAGGGAAACUUACGCUAAUACCGCAUACGACCUACGGGUGAAAGCAGGGGAUCUUCGGACCUUGCGCGAUUGAAUGAGCCGAUGUCGGAUUAGCUAGUUGGCUGGGUAAAGGCCCACCAAGGCGACGAUCCGUAGCUGGUCUGAGAGGAUGAUCAGCCACACUGGAACUGAGACACGGUCCAGACUCCUACGGGAGGCAGCAGUGGGGAAUAUUGGACAAUGGGCGCAAGCCUGAUGCAGCCAUACCGCGUGGGUGAAGAAGGCCUUCGGGUUGUAAAGCCCUUUUGUUGGGAAAGAAAAGCAGCAGGUUAAUACGCCGAUGUUCUGACGGUACCUAAAGAAUAAGCAACGGCUAACUUCGUG
rnacentral:rRNA from 1 species